rnacentral:misc_RNA from 1 species
GUUACAGCAAAUCUUACAAACUCAUUGAUAUCAAGAGAACCUUCAAAAAACUU